rnacentral:rRNA from 1 species
GUCGAGAAUAAUUCACAAUGGGGGCAACCCUGAUGGAGCGACGCCGCGUGGAGGAUAAGGUCUUCGGAUUGUAAACUCCUGUCAUGCGUGAACAAGGUUGCUUGGUUAAUACCUGGGCAAAUUGAUGGUAACGCAAGAGGAAGAGACGGCUAACUCUGUGCCAGCAGCCGCGGUAAUACAGAGGUCUCAAGCGUUGUUCGGAAUCACUGGGCGUAAAGGGUGCGUAGGUGGCGUGGUAAGUCAGAUGUGAAAGCCCGGGGCUCAACCUGGGAACUGCAUCCGAUACUGCCAUGCUAGAGUACUGGAGAGGUGACUAGAAUUCUCGGUGUAGCAGUGAGAUGCGUAGAUAUCGAGAGGAAUACCAAAGGCGUAGGCAGGUCACUGGACAGUUACUGACACUGAGGCACGAAGGCCAGGGGAGCGAACGGGAUUAGAUACCCUUGUAGUCC